UCCUGUCACUAUAUAAAGCAGAGAGUGGUGUGUUUUCUAUAUCUAUACCAACAGCCCUCGUUAAUUAUUUUGUCACAAUAGUACCCUGCUAGGGGCAAGGAAUUUAUGGGUUACGGUGUCAAGGGUGAAUCACCCAACAGUUUAAAAUAUGUAAUAAAAUAGAAACGCAUAAUUUACCUUUUUAAGAAGGUUUGUAGUGGGUUAUUUAUGCAAAACCGCUACACUUGAGGCUAAGAUAACAACUUGGUAGUACUCCCUCCGUCCAAGUGUAUAGGGCACACGCGUAGUCCUAGGUCGUUAAUUUAACUAUUUAAAUAUGUAUUAUAUGUAACAAAUAAUAUAUCAUUAGAUUCAUGCAAAGAUGUAGUUUCCGAAUAUAUAAUUUUUAUCGCAUAUAAUACAUAUUUAGCUAGUUAAAUUGAUAACCUAGAACUACGCGCAUGCCCUAUACACUUGGACGGAGGUAGUACAACAUUUGUGACAGGGCAAGUUCCAGCCUUCCAUCUCGCUCGCUCGUGAAGAAGGAAAAAUUGACCGAGCCAACAAAAUAUUCAGAGUUUCAGACACCUGGAGUUCAGCAAAACCGUAUUUUAAAUGUCUGGUCAUCCAACUCAACACCCUGUGGUUUGGCCUCUAACAAUGGAUAAACAAAACACCUUGUUUCUCCUAUAGCAGUUAAGUAGAAAUAGCCUGACGACAGGAACAACAAAGGGGAAAAACUAGGCUGU
rnacentral:lncRNA from 1 species